GAUGAACGCUGGCGGCGUGCUUAACACAUGCAAGUCGAACGAUGAAGCCCAGCUUGCUGGGUGGAUUGGUGGCGAACGGGUGAGUAACACGUGAGUAACCUGCCCUUAACUCUGGGUUAGGCCGGGGAAACUGGGUCUAUUACCGGAUAGGAGGGUCCACGCCAGGGGGGGGGUUGGAAAGAUUUAUCGGUUUUGGAUGGACUCGCGGCCUAUCAGCUUGUUGGUGAGGUAAUGGCUCACCAAGGCGACGACGGGUAGCCGGCCUGAGAGGGUGACCGGCCACACUGGGACUGAGACACGGCCCAGACUCCUACGGGAGGCAGCAGUGGGGAAUAUUGCACAAUGGGCGCAAGCCUGAUGCAGCGACGCCGCGUGAGGGAUGACGGCCUUCGGGUUGUAAACCUCUUUCAGUAGGGAAGAAGCGAAAGUGACGGUACCUGCAGAAGAAGCACCGGCUAACUACGUG
rnacentral:rRNA from 1 species